GAUGCAUCUCCUUCUUACAUCAUCUUCAGUUUAUGUAAUUGGAUCUUUUUAAAUAAUGUUUUAAAACCGCUGAUACUAACAUGAUACCUUUGAACUUCUGAAUUUAUUCUCUAUUGAUUUCAACUUAAGAUGUACAUGCAGUGAUGGCUAAAAUGAAUUUUCUAUUUCUACAAAAGAAUUUGGAGAUAUGCUUAAUAUCCCAACUCAC
rnacentral:misc_RNA from 1 species